rnacentral:rRNA from 1 species
GAUGAACGCUGGCGGCGUGCCUAAUACAUGCAAGUCGAGCGAACGGACGAGAAGCUUGCUUCUCUGAUGUUAGCGGCGGCCGGGUGAGUAACACGUGGAUAACCUACCAUUAAGACUGGGAUAACUUCGGGAAACCGUAGCUAAUACCGGAUAAUAUUUUGAACCGCAUGGUCCAAAAGUGAAAGACGGUCUUGCUGUCACUUAUAGAUGGAUCCGCGCUGCAUUAGCUAGUUGGUAAGGUAACGGCUUACCAAGGCAACGAUGCAUAGCCGACCUGAGAGGGUGAUCGGCCACACUGGAACUGAGACACGGUCCAGACUCCUACGGGAGGCAGCAGUAGGGAAUCUUCCGCAAUGGGCGAAAGCCUGACGUAGCAACGCCGCGUGAGUGAUGAAGGUCUUCGGAUCGUAAAACUCUGUUAUUAGGGAAGAACAUAUGUGUAAGUAACUGUGCACAUCUUGACGGUACCUAAUCAGAAAGCCACGGCUAACUACGUG